rnacentral:rRNA from 1 species
AACGAACGCUGGCGGCAUGCUUAACACAUGCAAGUCGAACGGGAAGCUCCUUUCGGGGAGUGGAGAGUGGCGCACGGGUGAGUAACGCGUAGAUAAUCUACCCUUCGGUUCGGGAUAACCUCUCGAAAGAGAAGCUAAUACCGGAUAACAGGUGGAGUCGACUGGCUCUAUCUUAAAAGUUCCGGCGCCGAGGGAUGAGUCUGCGUGACAUUAGCUAGUUGGUGAGGUAACGGCUCACCAAGGCGACGAUGUCUAGCGGGUCUGAGAGGAUGAUCCGCCACACUGGCACUGAGACACGGGCCAG